rnacentral:tRNA from 1 species
UUUCUGGUGGUCCAAUGGUUAAGAUUCUGCACUUCCAAUGCAGAGGGUAUGAGUUUGAAUCCUGGUUGGAGAA